rnacentral:rRNA from 1 species
ACAGGGAUUGCCCUAGUAACGGCGAGUGAAGCGGCAACAGCUCAAAUUUGAAAUCUGGCUUCGGCCCGAGUUGUAAUUUGCAGAGGAUGUUUCUGGCGCGGUGCCUUCCGAGUUCCCUGGAACGGGACGCCACAGAGGGUGAGAGCCCCGUAUGGUUGGACACCAAGCCUGUGUGAAACUCCUUCGACGAGUCGAGUAGUUUGGGAAUGCUGCUCAAAAUGGGAGGUAAAUCUCUUCUAAAGCUAAAUACCGGCCAGAGACCGAUAGCGCACAAGUAGAGUGAUCGAAAGAUGAAAAGCACCUUGAAAAGGGGGUUAAACAGUACGUGAAAUUGUUGAAAGGGAAGCGCUUGUGACCAGACUUGCGCCGGGCGGUUCAUCCGGGGUUCUCCCCGGUGCACUCCGCCCGGUUCAGGCCAGCAUCGGUUCUCGUUGGGGGAUAAGAACGGCAGGAACGUGGCCCUCCUCCGGGAGGGUGUUAUAGCCUGCCGUACGAUACCCUGACGGGGACCGAGGUUCGCGCUCCGCAAGGAUGCUGGCGUAAUGGUCAUCAGCGACCCGUCUUGAAACACGGACCAAGGAGUCGUCCAUUAGAGCGAGCGUUUGGGUGUCAAACCCGCACGCGUAAUGAAAGUGAAAUUAGGUGAGAGCUUCGGCGCAUCAUCGACCGAUCCUGAUGUUCUCGGAUGGAUUUGAGUAAGAGUUUUAACGGACGGACCCGAAAGACAGUGAACUAUGCUUGUAUAGGGUGAAGCCAGAGGAAACUCUGGUGGAGGCUCGCAGCGGUUCUGACGUGCAAAUCGAUCGUCAAAUAUGAGCA